GUAAGCAUAAUUUAACAAAAAUGCUGGAUUGUGAUUCCAAAAACAGGGGUUUAAACCCCCUUGCUUACC
rnacentral:tRNA from 1 species